rnacentral:tRNA from 1 species
GGAGAUUUAGCUCAGUGGUAGAGUGCUUGCCUAGCAAGCGCAAGGCCCUGGGUUCGGUCCCCAGCUCUG